rfam:Aspergillus carbonarius ITEM 5010 unplaced genomic scaffold ASPCAscaffold_6, whole genome shotgun sequence.
GGCAAGGUGGUCGAGUGGUUAAGACGUAAGACUUGAAUCCAACCGGAUGUUAUCUUAUCCCUUCGGGGUCGCGCGUUCAAAUCGCGUCCUUGUCG